CUCAAAUGCCGCUCCGUCACGGUGGAGACCGUGAAUUCAAGUUAACGUUAGCUCCAGACUAACGAUACUUGAGUUGACGACAGGUACGCUCAUUACUGUAAGUACGUGCAAUAAAACCUUAGCGAAUAAAAAUACAUUACUAUAUCAAUAACCUGUGUGUAGGGUAAACGUGUAGAAAGAGCUUAAGUUCACAGCUCUGCUGUUUCGUAGAAACCAUAGCCACUUUGUGUAGCCACUCUGUGAGGAGGGGUGGUAUCACAAAAAAGUGUCAAGUAGUGUCAGUGCAUACCCUCUAAUUCUAUUGACUGUCUGUUUCAGAAUAACCCUAAAACUAAUGCCUGACUUUUAUUUAUACUAUACUACUACUACUACACAUUGUUACAUGGGACUCCUUCUAUUUGCUGAUAGCGAAGUUAAUUUAUGUCUCUGUCCUUGGUAAGGAACAUUUUUACAACAGCCAAAGCAGCUCUGGAUUUCUGGCAUGGUGACUCAAGACAAUUCAGAGAAAGACAAAACCUUUGUCCAAGGAACUGAAAACGCAGACAACGGGAGGAGGUGGUCCAAGAAAUGAGAGGGAGCUGCCUUAGAUAAGUGGUCAGUUGGAUGAAGAGCGGUGUAAAGAGGUCAUAUCCUUGAUGAACCACAUCAGUGACCCAUGAGUACAGACAGCAUCUCAUCCAUCCACAAUCCUAAUGAAUCACACACCGUACUCUGUGGUUCCAAGACUGCUGGACACUAAAGAUAUGUCAAGAUUUUAGCCUGCUCUUUGGACCGGAAACAGCUGCCAAACUGCUUGAGAAGUGGUAUAUAGCCUACAAAGAAAAGGUGAUCAGAGAAGCAGAGAGUCGUACUACCACUCCAGUGCUCCAGAGUUUGGUGAAGUCUGCCAGGAAUCAGUACAAUGAUGAAUCUUCAGAGGAUAUCCCAGUCAUGCAGUAGGAGGUUCCCCCGGCCUUUCUGUGUGGAGUUUGCCUGUUCUCCCUAUGUCCGCAUGGGUUCUCUCCGGGUGCUCCGGCUUCUUCCCUCCCUCCAAUGCAGGUUAGGUUAAUUGGUGACCCUAAAUUGUCCUUAGGUGUGGAUGUGAGUGGUUGU